CGUUAUCCCGGGAUAAAGCCCCGGGAUGGUUCCGAGCGUGGUUUAUUCAGGGCAGCUGCGGCAGAGGGAGGGUUCCGGCUGCUCCUGCAUCCCUCGCAUCCCUCCGUAGCCAUGGGAACGGCCCCGGGGAGCGCCGUGCCCAUGGCAACCCCGCAGGAGCAUCUUGAGCAUCCUCAGAGCCUCCCCCUGGCCUUCUCCUCCUGCCAGGCUCGGAGUUUUUGGCUCCUUUCUGCUCCCGGGUGGGUGAUGCCAAAGCUUUUCCUCACGGGCAGCUCCCCUUGCAGGAUCCAAGGGCAGAUUUGACAUUUCACGAUGGAAUAUUUGGUGGAUAAAACUCCCCUGGUGUCUUAAUAAAGAUAAACUUUAUAAAGAGCCUUUAAAGUGCUGCUUUAGGGGCCAGCAAAGCUUUGGGCAGAGUCAUGUGGGCUCUGGGGUCUCAUCCCACGUUCCAAAAUGUUAUAAAUCCCAAUGGAUAAAAUCCUGGCCUCAUUUCCCCCCCUGACCCACAUUUCCCAAGUUCCUUUGUUUAUUCUCAUUUAUGCUCAGAGUAAGAGAGGGUGGAACCCCACAAAGGCUCCUGGAACAUUUCCCAUGGAGGGAAAAGGGAAAAUCCGGGUGGAAAUUUCCUCACCAGCUCAGGUAAGAGAUGAUUAAACCUGUCGGGUUUAAUCAUCUCAUCCUCAUCAGGAAACCAGCUCAGGGCAGGGAAAAGCUUGUUGAGUUCUCAGGUGAAUAAACAAGGCGAAGAUCUGGACCAAAAAAUGGCUCAAUGAAAGAAAAAUAUUAUUUUUAAAAAGAUUUGAAAGUUAAUUUUUAGUUAUACUUCUUAAAUUAUUUCUCCAUCUCCAUCUCAUCUCCAUCUCCAACCUCGCUCUUGUUCCAGUCUAUUGUUUGACUUACGUUUUUUUUUAAAUAAAAAUCAAGUAAUUACCUGCAUUUCCUGCUUUUUCCAGCUCGCCCUCAACCCCUUUUCCCAGCUGGGAAAACCGAUUUUUUCCUGCCCAACUCAGCCAGGAACCCACGAGAAGCACCAAGAACGUUCUCCCUGCCCCAAAAUCCCGAAUUUCGCCGAGUCCCUGCAAGCUCUGAGCUCCCCGUGACUCCUCCCGGGCUUGGUCCGGGAUGAUUGAUGCCAAAACAAUUGGAACGGGAGCUCCCGAGCCAGUCCCGGGUUAUUUUGGGGGCGGUGACCUCAGCGCUGCCGCCUGAUGUCACCCGGAGCGCUCCGAGCCCGGAGAGCCCUUCCAGGGGAUGGCGAGUCAAAAAUAAACUCGGGAGAAGGGCAGGAAAAGCAAGGAAAACCUCCCGCUCCCCGGUGACGGCUGGGAGAGGCCGGAGGAGUUUUUUGGGAGCUGUGGCCCUGCAGGUGAUCUCCAAGGGUAAGGAGCUUACAGGGCCUGCCUGGAAUAGCAGCGAGCACAGGAGCGGGGUUAGCACAGCCCUAAGCAGAUUGGAGCAGCUCCACGGACAUUUAUAACCCCCUGGAUAAAGGUCACAGACGGUUUUAUUUCCUCUCCAUCAGCCCUGGGAGCAGCUCUGUUCCACGGGAUAAUGGAUUUGGAGCUGCAGUCAGCAACUGCUAAAAGCAUCUUGUCCUCUCCCAGAGCCUCCAGCAGGAGAUUUCCAACCCACCCCAAACCCUGACAUUUCUUCAAUUAAAAAAAAUCCACGCACUGCAGUUUUCCAGGAUUCCCAAAACAGCUCCACAUCUCCUCAUUCCAUUCAUAUUUCUUCAACAAACCACCAAGAUCCUGCAGUUUUCCAAGAUUUCCCCAUCCAGCCCCAAGCCUUGAUAUUCCUUCAGUAUAAAAUCCAAAUGCUGCAAUAUCCCAGGAUUUACAGAUCAGCCUCAAACCCUGAUAUUUCUUCAAUAAAAUCAUCCAGAUGCUUUGAUUUCCCAGAAUUUUUAAAUCAGCCCCAAGCCCUGAUAUUUCUUCAGUAUAAAAUCCAAACGCUGCAAUAUUCCAAGACUUCCAAACUGGCCCCAAAUCCUGGUGAUCCCACCAACAUUUCUUCAAUAAACCAUCAAAGCACUGCAAUUUCCUAAGAUUCCCAAACCAGCCCCAGAUCCUGGUGAUUCCAUUGUUAUUUCUUCAGUAAACCAUCAAAGCACCGCAGUUUUCCAAGAUUCCCAAAUUCUGAUGAUCCCACCAACAUUUCUUCAUUAAAGCAGCCAAACGUCUCCAUUCCCCAACAUCCCCCACACCCCGAUAUUCCCUCGGUAUAAAAUCCGACUGCUGCAACAUUCCAGGACUCCUGAAUCGGCCU